rnacentral:tRNA from 1 species
CCAGCGGAAAGCCGGAGCUGGUGGCAGAAGGGACUGUCUGAUUCCCUGCCAAGCGAGUCCUUUGUCCCACACUCUGGUGCCAACUGCCUCUCAUCACAGAGGACCGCUGCCCCUGCCAAGCCGCCCCACAACCAAGUAUGAUCGUCCCUCAGUCCCGGAUGCUGAAAUGGAAACUCAGAUUCAACUCUACUUAUGACUGAGGCCGGCAGGCACCAUCAGAGAGACAGAUAUCCCCGUGGCAUGGAGAAGUUCCGCAGUUCCAUUGUGGUCACUAAAAGACCCACUCCCCUGCUAGAUCCUAGGGAGCCAAGUGACAGGGUGUUGACAGCAUCAUCAGCAUCAGCAUCAUUAUUUACAUUGGUGAUUUGACUGCCUGGGUGUAUGGAUGUUGGAUCCCCUGGAACAGGAGUUACAGACAAUUGUGAGCUGCCAUGGGACUGGUGGAUAUUGAAACCUGGUCCUCUGGAAGAGCAGCCAGCACUCUUAACCUGGGUGCCAUCUCCCCAGCUGAGGUUUGUUAUGAAGAAACUUCACAACCAGAGGCUCCACUUAGGACCAUUCAGAGUCAAGGGAGGCAAGGAUCAGCGAAGACAUGAGACUAACAAGCUUACACAGCUAGCUCUACAGGUAAGAUUAGCUCAGCUUCUGUCACUGUCCAUUGAGUCUUAUUCAUGUCUUCUAAACAUGACGUGUCCUCCACAGGUCUUGUCCCAGCAUGUGUCUUGGCUCAGUACUUGUGUCUGUCUCAGUUGACAUCACUCUGUCAAUCAGCCUGAGUCUGCAGAAGUGGCAAGGAGCUGUAGUACACUACUAGAAGUUUCUUGGUGUGUUUCUCCCUGUGGAGUCCUGACAAAUGUAGCUGAACUACGUACUAUAAGGAAGACCAACAUAUGUGUGUUGUUAGCAAAGAAUCUUCUAUCACAUGUCUUUCUAUGUGCUUGUUUCAGUAGAACAUCUUUCCUUUUGUGUCUGUUUUAGUGACACGUCCUUUUACGAGUCUUAGUCUUACACCUGUGUCCACUUCAGCUAAAUGUUCCUUCACGUGUUUGCCCCAGCAAAACACCACCCAAAUGGCUUCUCAAAGAACCCUUAAAUCUCCACUUCACCUAACUUCAGACCCUCUUUACCACAGAGGAGUGGGACCACAUUGGAUGGGAGGCCCACAAAUUAGUUCCAGGAAAUAACCUUAGAUACUCUGAGGACCCUUGAGAUAACGAUCAGUGCCUUUCCAGAUUGGACUGGGACCCUCAACACCUGAAGGUAGGGAGGUGCUCAAAAGUGAUCGCUGGAUUUUAAUGGGGGGUCUCAAAUGCUUGAUGGACUCACAUCACUCUCUCUUACUUAACCACCCCCGAGUAUUCUUUACUUCCAGCUCCUCUUUGAACCCUGCCACACUGCUACCUAACCAGCCCUGGAAAAAUCCUCCAGGACAUGGCUGGAAACCCUGUAACACAUACAUGGGACACAGCCUUAACUGACAACACUGGCCCAAUGUGGACAUCACCACGUUCCCUGACAGAGCAGUUUUAUGGAAGAGGGUACUAGGUAUACAGAGGUAGCAGUGGUGGACUUGAACAAGCUGUCAUGAGUGUCUCCUGAGUGGGACUUCAUCCCAGAGGGCAGAGCUAACAGUCCUCAUCCAGGUGCUUAAAUUAGGUAAGGAAAAAAAUGGCUAAUAUCUACACUGAUAGUUGAUAUGCAUUUGCCAUUGCAUAUGUCCACGGAGCAAUUUACCACGACAGGGCACUGCUAACUGCUGAAGGAAAAACAAUUAAAAGUAAACAAGAAAACUUAGACCUCCUGGAUGCCCUCUGGCUCCCAAAGAAAUUGGCCAUUAUACACUGUCCCCAACCUCAAAAGGGACAAACCCCAGAGGGCAUCAGAAAUCGAAGAGCAGACCUGAUGGUUUGGAAGUCAGCCAAGCAGCUUCUCCUACAUUUGCCAGUGGCUCUCCCAGAUUCACUCCUGCCUGGGCAACUCAAAGAGGACAGCCAGGCCUGUCAACUCCUGCCCAAAACCUACACCAAGGAUGAAUGGUGACACACAUUAGGUGGAAAAACAAUUCUACCACGGUCAGUGCACAGAACUUGACCAAAAAACUUCACACCUACACACACCUGGGAAUAAAUAAAAAAGGAACUUGGUACCUCCCAGGUUUUAUAUUCCAGGCCUGACUAAGGAAUUCAGGGUGUUGCGACCAGAUGCAUUCUUGUCAACCGACAUGCCCAGCUCCUAGAACUAUGUAUACCACAACAAAAAGAGGUUACCUCACUAGGACUCUAUUGGAAACGGACUUCACAGAGGUAAGACCAGGGAAAUUCGGUUACAAAUAUCUUUUAGCUUUUAUAGAUACCUUCUUGGGAUGGACUGAAGCACUUCCAACCAAAAAGGAAACAGUGCAAACAGUAAGUACAAAAACUUAAGAAUGGAUUCCUCAGUUCAGGCCUCUAACAAUGCUGGGAUCAGACAGUAGUCCAGCAUUCAACUCUCAGGUCAGACAAACCUUGUCUAAGGCGUUGGGGAUAAACUGGGAAACUUCAUUGUGCAUUUUGUCCGGAGUUCAUGUCAGGUAGAAAGGAAGAAUCAGACCCUUAAAGAGACCUUGACUAAAAUGACCUGGACUAAAAUGAGCUGGCAAUUACUGGGUAGCCCUCCUUCUCUUCACCCUUUUUUUUUUUCUUUUUUUCGGAGCUGGGGACUGAACCCAGGGCCUUGUGCUUGCUAGGCAAACGCUCUACCACUGAGCUAAAUCCCCAACCCCCUCUUCACCCUUCUUAGGGUGAGAAAUACUCACUACAUUAAUGGAGUCACGCCCUAUGAAAUAAUGUUUGGGAGACUCCGUCCCACCCUCCCAAAGGUCAGAGCUGACCUCUUAGCUGAAUUCUCUAACCAGACUGGUCUUUGACACCUUAACUAACUAGCCCCGCACGUACCCCUACCCCGGUCAUCCCUCGUUGGUUCCAGCAUGGUGACCUGGUUCUGGUCAAGAGAUAUCAAAAAAGGGAUCUUGGGAUCACACCGGAAAGGACCACACUUCCAUGAUCUGGGCCACCCCGACCACCAUGAGAGUGGAUGGGAGCUGAGCCCAGAUUCAUCACUCCCAUCUGAAAUUUGCCCCCUAGCAACACCAGGACCCAGACUGGUGAUGGGUCACUUGGGAGAGGGGAGGAUUCAGGAGCAGACACAGAAAGGAACUGACAGACCAGAGCUGAGAAAGGGCUAAGUUUAAAAAGGAGCUGAGACUGCCCCAGCAAAAGGCCUAAGCUUUAAACUAAAUCAGAAAUCUCAUGCCUUAUUUAUACAUCCGUCUGGUUGUGGGGGAAACCCUGCUAAAUCAGGUUGCAGUCUAACAGGACCAGAUAGCUCUUCUGAACUUGGCACAAAAUGGAGGGCUCCCUAGACUACCAGGGCUUCCCUUGCUCUGUGUUUGUCUGGGGAUCCUGACUCCUUACACCCUCUACCUGAGGAAGGUUGUCAGAUGAAUAAGUUCGAAUUCCUCUUUACUUUAAAGUCUGAGCCAUUCAGAGCCUGCCCCACAUGUGGUCCAUAUAUAUACAGCCACCAAAACUAGAUAAGACAGAUGAAGC